CCUACGGGAGGCAGCAGUGGGGAAUAUUGCACAAUGGGGGAAACCCUGAUGCAGCGACGCCGCGUGAGUGAAGAAGGAUUUCGGUAUGUAAAGCUCUAUCAGCAGGGACGAGUCAAGACGGUACCUGACUAAGAAGCCCCGGCUAACUACGUUCCAGCAGCCGCGGUAAUACGUAGGGGGCAAGCGUUAUCCGGAAUCACUGGGUGUAAAGGGAGGGUAGACGGGUGGGCAAGCCUGAAGUGAAAGGCAGGGGCCCAACCCCUGGACUGCAUUUGGAACUGUACGGCUUGAGUGCAGGAGAGGUAAGCGGAAUUCCUAGUGUAGCGGUGAAAUGCGUAGAUAUUAGGAGGAACACCAGUGGCGAAGGCGGCUUACUGGACUGUAACUGACGUUGAGGCGCGAAAGCGUGGGGAGCAAACAGGAUUAGAUACCCGUGUAGUC
rnacentral:rRNA from 1 species